AUUUACGGCCUUACCACCAUGGAGACGCCCGAUCUCGUCUGAUCUCGGAAGCUAAGCAUGGUCGGGCCUGGUUAGUACUUAGGAUGGGAGACCGCCUGGGAAUACCAGGGGCUAUAAGUA
rnacentral:rRNA from 10 species